rnacentral:misc_RNA from 1 species
UCCGGUUUGUCACCGGCAGUCUCAUUAGAGUGCCCUUUCGUAGCAACUAAUGACAAGGGUUGCGCUCGUUGCGGGACUUAACCCAACAUCUCACGACACGAGCUGACGACAGCCAUGCAGCACCUGUGCGCCGGUUCUCUUUCGAGCACCCUCAGAUCUCUCCAAGGUUCCGACCAUGUCAAGGGUAGGUAAGGUUUUUCGCGUUGCGUCGAAUUAAUCCACAUCAUCCACCGCUUGUGCGGGUCCCCGUCAAUUCCUUUGAGUUUUAACCUUGCGGCCGUACUCCCCAGGCGGAUGACUUAACGCGUUAGCUGCGCCACCAAAGCUCCAAGAGCCCUGACAGCUAGUCAUCAUCGUUUACGGCGUGGACUAC